AUCUAGUUGAUGAGUUUUAAAUAGGACGAAACUAGAGUCCUGGAU
rfam:Schistosoma haematobium scaffold128_6, whole genome shotgun sequence.